AGUGAACGCUGGCGGCAGGCCUAAUACAUGCAAGUCGAACGGCAGCACGGGAGCUUGCUCCUGGUGGCGAGUGGCGAACGGGUGAGUAACAUAUCGGAACGUACCUAGUAAUGGGGGAUAACUAUCCGAAAGGAUGGCUAAUACCGCAUACGCCCUGAGGGGGAAAGCGGGGGAUCGUAAGACCUCGCGUUAUUAGAGCGGCCGAUAUCUGAUUAGCUAGUUGGUGGGGUAAAGGCCUACCAAGGCGACGAUCAGUAGCUGGUCUGAGAGGACGACCAGCCACACUGGAACUGAGACACGGUCCAGACUCCUACGGGAGGCAGCAGUGGGGAAUUUUGGACAAUGGGCGCAAGCCUGAUCCAGCCAUUCCGCGUGAGUGAAGAAGGCCUUCGGGUUGUAAAGCUCUUUCGCAAGGGAAGAAACGAUGCAGUCGAAUAAACUGCGUUAAUGACGGUACCUUGAUAAGAAGCACCGGCUAACUACGUG
rnacentral:rRNA from 1 species